rnacentral:misc_RNA from 1 species
CUCCGCCCCGCCCGCCAGGGGCGGCGGGCCCUACGAACCUUUGUAUCUCAACCACUAGAAAACCGUCUGAGGAAAACAAACAAAAUAAUCAAAACUUUCAACAACGGAUCUCUUGGCUCUGGCAUCGAUGAAGAACGCAGCGAAAUGCGAUACGUAAUGUGAAUUGCAGAAUUCAGCGAACCAUCGAAUCUUUGAACGCACAUUGCGCCCGCCAGCAUUCUGGCGGGCAUGCCUGUCCGAGCGUCAUUUCCCCCCUCACGCGCCCCGUUGCGCGCUGGUGUUGGGGCGCCUCCGCCUGGCGGAGGCCCCCGAAAGCGAGUGGCGGGCCCUGUGGAUGGCUCCGAGCGCAGUACCGAACGCAACGUUCUCCCUCGCUCCGGACGCCCCCCAGGUGCCCUGCCGUGAAAACGCGCAUGACGUGCAACUCUUACCCAAGGUGACCUCGGAUCAG